CCAAAGGCUCUUUUCAGAGCCACCUAAUACACUUGAAAAAGCUGG
rfam:TPA: Bos taurus chromosome 23, whole genome shotgun sequence.